AGUAUCUGAAAUAAAAUACAAAGAUUGUUUAAGACUGAAGAAUUUAUUUUGCUACUCAGGUCAGUUCAAGGACACAGUCCAUAGUGACAGGUCAGUUCAAGGACACAGUCCAUAGUGACAGGUCAGUUCAAGGACACAGUCCAUCAUGACAGGUCAGUUCAAGGACACAGUCCAUCAUGACAGGUCAGUUCAAGGACACAGUCCAUAGUGACAGGUCAGUUCAAGGACACAGUCCAUAGUGACAGGUCAGUUCAAGGACACAGUCCAUCAUGACAGGUCAGUUCAAGGACACAGUCCAUAGUGACAGGUCAGUUCAAGGACACAGUCCAUCAUGACAGGUCAGUUCAAGGACACAGUCCAUAGUGACAGGUCAGUUCAAGGACACAGUCCAUAGUGACAGGUCAGUUCAAGGACACAGUCCAUCAUGACAGGUCAGUUCAAGGACACAGUCCAUAGUGACAGGUCAGUUCAAGGACACAGUCCAUAGUGACAGGUCAGUUCAAGGACACAGUCCAUAGUGACAGGUCAGUUCAAGGACACAGUCCAUCAUGACAGGUCAGUUCAAGGACACAGUUCAUAGUGACAGGUCAGUUCAAGGACACAGUCCAUCAUGACAGGUCAGUUCAAGGACACAGUCCAUCACGAUAGGUCAGUUCAGGGACACAGUCCAUCAUGAUAGGUCGGUCACAGAGGCAGAGACUUAAGCUGCUGUCACAUUUCAUCCACAGUCAGAAAGCAGAGCUGUUGCUGUUUGUGCUCAGCUCACUUUGUCUUUCUGGUGCAGUCCAUGACCCAAGCUCAGGAGAUGGUUCCCACCUUAAUGAACUUUGCCAAGAUAAUCUCUGACAGGUAAGCCCAGAGGCUCAUCUCUCAAGUGAUUCUAGAUUUCAAAGUUGACAAUUAAGAUUAACCAUCAUAAUAGUGACACAGCAACUAUACAAACUAAUGAUUCCGAUGGCCAAUUAGAAAGCGAUACAGAAAUGCUUCCCCUUAGGAUGGAGGAUUCCCACCACUCACUUUUUCUCUAUUAAAAUGUAUAUAAAGUAUAUUAUCUUAUGGGUGUAUUUUUGGAAAGAGUAUAUACAUGAUAAAUUGUAAAUUAUAUUUCAGAAAGUUAACUGAUCCUUAAACUCACAUUUACCCAAGGAUAGUAGAGUUAAGAAGGCUUUUCUUUAAAAAGGGGAAUGUAGAUUGGGAGAGCAGCAGAACCACUGAGGAUGUUUCCUAAAACACGAGGACAUUUUGUCAAAAGGAAAGAACUGCACUUGGAUGGUGAAGCCCUAACUAGAAGCAUGCAUGACCUGGGAAUGACACAAUCUAAGGCUUAGUUUUCUCAUUCCUAAGGCAGAAACAACCCAGAAAGAACCUUACCUUAUUUUACUUCCUUUUUGGUGUCAAAUGAAUGUGUGUGGCUUUGUAUUGAAACAAAAUGUAACAAAAAAUGUCACAUCUCUAUAUAUUACCUACUAGUUACAGCUUAUUCAGCCCUAAGAACCUAGC